rnacentral:tRNA from 1 species
GUGAACGAUCGAAUGGGUAUUACUUAUCUUUGGUCUGCACUCGAAAUGCGGCAUGGGUGCAAGCCCAUCGGGGGUUCGAAUCCCCCCCUCUCCGCCA